rnacentral:lncRNA from 1 species
CGCGAGGAGGGGAAUGCUAGCUUAUGUUGAGAAGAUCCAGAGGGAAGAGAGGAACAAUGGGGUGGACACAUUAGCCCAUCAAAAAUGGUCAGGUGCCAACUUUUAUGAUAGAUAUCUCAAGACAGUCCAGGGAGGCAUAUCAUCGACUGCAGCCAUGGGCAAAGGCAAGUCAUAAAGAAAUUAACUCUCCAUUCCUUUUUCCAGGUGAUUACACUUCAAAUUCAGAAAAAUAAAGAAAAAAGAGUAUUGAUACAUGACUUUUGUGCAGGAGUGACAGAGGAGCAAUUCAAGGAAACAUGGACAAGGCCAGGAGCCAUGGAGGUUGCAAAUGAAGGCAAUAUGGUGGUUGCUAAGGCAAGGAUGUAGGAUGAAGCUAAGCUGAUUGGAAAUUGG